UACGUAGGGUGCAAGCGUUGUCCGGAAUUAUUGGGCGUAAAGAGCUCGUAGGCGGUCUGUCGCGUCGGCUGUGAAAACUCGGGGCUCAACCCCGAGCCUGCAGUCGAUACGGGCAGACUAGAGUGCGGUAGGGGAGACUGGAAUUCCUGGUGUAGCGGUGAAAUGCGCAGAUAUCAGGAGGAACACUGGUGGCGAAGGCGGGUCUCUGGGCCGUAACUGACGCUGAGGAGCGAAAGCGUGGGGAGCAAACAGGAUUAGAUACCCUGGUAGUCCACGCCGUAAACGGUGGGUGCUAGGUGUAGGCGGUAUUCCACGCCGUCUGUGCCGCAGCUAACGCAUUAAGCACCCCGCCUGGGGAGUACGGCCGCAAGGCUAAAACUCAAAG
rnacentral:rRNA from 1 species